GACUGAUAAGUUAGCUUUUAUUAUGAGAGAUUAAAUUUUAGUUUAAUUAGUUUUAGAAUUAGUGGUUUAAUAUUAAUUUUUUUUUAUACAUGUUAUACUUAUAAAUUAUUCAUUUCUUUAGACGAGGAUUAGAUACCCUCUUAUAGGGAUGGUAAUUAUUAGUUAUUUGUUUCUCAGUGAUAAAACUGAAAGAAAUUGGCAGUUAAUUAUAUUUUUCUAGGGGAUUGUGUAGUUUAAUUAGAUGAUCCACUUAUAAUAUUACCUGUUUUUUGUUGGUGUAUAUCCGGUUNAUAAACAAAAAAUAAUUAUUUUUUGUUUAAAAUAUUUUUUUAUCCAGGUCAAUAUGCUGCUUAUAGUUAGGUAUGUUUAUGCAAUACAAUUUAAAUUAUAAUAAUGAAAAAGAUAUUAUUUANGACUUAGUAGUAAUAGAAAAUAAUAAUGUUUUUGUGAAUGGUUGAUUUGAUU
rnacentral:rRNA from 1 species